rnacentral:rRNA from 1 species
UACGUAGGUGGCGAGCGUUGUCCGGAUUUACUGGGCGUAAAGCGCGCGCAGGCGGACUGAUCAGUCUGGGGUGAAAUCUCACGGCUCAACUGUGAGCGGUCCCUGGAUACUGUCAGUCUUGAGAUGUCUAGAGGAGAGCGGAAUUCCCGGUGUAGUGGUGGAAUGCGUAGAUAUCGGGAAGAACACCAGUGGCGAAGGCGACACACUGGGUCGCACCUGACGCUAAGACGCGACAGCAUGGGGAGCGAACGGG